rnacentral:rRNA from 1 species
UACGUAGGGGGCAAGCGUUGUCCGGAUUUAUUGGGCGUAAAGAGCGUGUAGGCGGUUAUGCAGGUCCGCUGUGAAAACUGGAGGCUUAACCUCCAGACGUCGGUGGAAACCGUAUGACUAGAGUCCGGAAGAGGAGAGUGGAAUUCCUGGUGUAGCGGUGAAAUGCGCAGAUAUCAGGAAGAACACCCGUGGCGAAGGCGGCUCUCUGGGACGGUACUGACGCUGAGACGCGAAGGCGUGGGGAGCGAACAGG